ACAGAUUUUCUCUCUCACUUUUUAUGUACCUUCAUCUUUUGUCUGCGCUGUGCUUUUGGUUCUUCGUUUCAUCUCACUCGAAUUUAUUUCCUUUUUUUGUGCAUCUUCGGUAUGCUUUCGUUACUGAAUUUGGAUUUUGGGGUUUUUUUUUUGCAGGGCGAUGUCCGAUCAGAACCCCAAAUCAAUUUUGCUGCAGCCGACCUAUCUACUUGAUAUUGUCAGUUUUUCUUGAAUUUCUUGCAUGCAUUCGCAGUUAAGUGAAGAAAAUCAACAACUUGUUGUCUUUUUAAAGCUACAUUCGUAUUAUACUUUAAGAAAAUCAAAAGAAACCGUAGUUUUCAAGAAUAUAUUGGCAUUAAAAGUUGAAAAUUGUGUCAAGUAAGAUAAUGGGGAAUUCUGAAAAGAUGAAUGAUUUUUGACAUUGAUCUAAUGCAUUUAAUGUUGCUCAAGUUAUUAUAUUACUUCAUUAUCUCAAGUUAUACUUUCUUUUGAAGGAUUGUCGGAAGUUGUACUUUACUUUUGAAGGAUGUGGUGUUAAUCAACUAUUGUUUUGUAUGCUUCCUUUACGCUAGCAACAACAAAAUAAUGUCAUUCAGAUGUUUUUGUGUGCUUUCCCAGCAAGCUUUGGCUUUAAAGGAGAAUCUGUGAGCUCUAAUUCGGACCUUUCUUUUGUUGGAAAUUGUUAGUAAUACAACUCAUGGGAUGCCAAAUGGUUAUCGAAAGGUUUUGAAGGAAAAGUUCUUUUGAGAUUUAGUUGGGUAAUAUCCAUUAGGAUAGGGUAUAACACUACUAACCUGGUCGUUGUUUUUGACAUUGUUUACAGGAUGACAUGUUUUGUACCUUGAAAUCGCUAAAUCAAAUAUAUUAGUUAUGUUUCUCUCUUCAGGCCAAGUGUGAAAAUGAAACUUGUUGACAUCUGAAAUAGGAAAUACUAGGCUCAAGGGGAGCACACAAGUACACACCGAUGGGGAGUCAAGAAAACGUUCUGAUUAACGUAAUUGGAAGUUCCUACAAUUGAUCAGACUAAAAAGAUAAACUUCAUUCUGUCAAGUUGAAGUAAUCACAAAAUUGUAUGUAUAAAGAUAAAAUGGACAAACAAGGUGAUUUUUGAUGAUGUUGAAAGUUGAUAUAUACGUGUCUGUUUGGCUUCGAUUCAAAAGUUUUUGGAAGUUUGCAAAGAUUAGACUCUAUUUGCUAGAGUAUAUUAAAAAGUUAGCAGUUACUGUGCUUUGCAUUAGGAGCUUAAAAGGAUUUAGUUUCUUUCUAGAAAAAGUAACAUCGAUGGUCUUACCUUUCUUAGUUUUAUUGAUAUACUUUUACUGUUUCGUAGUGAUGAAUGUUGAGGUUCAAAAAUAAUGUUAUUCCUUCUCUGUUUAUCCUGUAUUUGAAUCACUGUUUCAUUCAAGAUCAUUAUGUUCUUCUUUGUUGAAAUGAAUAUACCUUUCCUCAUUGAAUUUAUUUAUCAUGCUAUUGUUUAAGUUGGUUGACACAGCAUGUUCUCUCCGGGUUGAAUAUAAUAUGGAUGAUUUGUACAUUUAUGGAGAAAUCCUCAGCAUUCUCCAACAAUGAAUGGAAGGAGCGAAAACCACACUGGACCAGGAUCUUUUAUGUAGGGAUAUUCUUAAGUGGUCAGGCAAUUAAGUUGAGUUACAUAUAAACUCUACACAUGGGUUAAUUCCUGAGACUGGUCAUUUUCUUUUCCUUUUACAGUAUCCAAUCUCAAUGACUAUCAAUUGAGUUCUUAAUUUAAGAUCAGAAAUUGUAUAAAGCAAUCAAAAUUGUGGAAUUCUCAAGACUCAUUUUUUUGAAGGUUAAUUUUUUCAUUCUUA